ensembl:lincRNA
AUUUACUUCUUUUUUCAGAACUGCUAAAAGUCGAUCCUAUUUUUAUUUACUUUUUCAUGUCGGGGGUGGGGAAACUGAGCAGUGAGAUGGGCUCAGGGUGGCGGAAGGCAGAACCCGGGUCCCCCUCCCCCGAGGCAUCUUCCUCCGUCUCCUAAGCGCUCGGCUGCCCCGGGCCUGGCUGGGACGGACACAGACCCGAGCGCGGAUCUGCUCGUGGGUCCGUCUGGGCAGGGCGGUGAGGACCAGGCUCUGGGGAAGGAGGCCCGAUGAGUCAGAGAUGUCCCGGCCCGCGUCCCACCGCGAAGUGACGUCCUGAAGGCGGCGAGGACGGACGAGGCCGCGCGGGGCGCACACCCGGCCCACGGCUCCGCCCGCCCGCGGCCCGCACGAUCGUGACACGGGUGGCUCGGAUGCACCUGCCCGCGAUUCGCCUCCUUGGCUCUCGGGAGCUCCCGUUCUCGCCUCUCCGUUCCCGGCCUCCCGGCCCCUCCCGCCACGGCUCUGGUCUCCUGCGCCUCGGGGCCCCAGCCCGCUCCUCCCAGACCCGCCCCGCUGCAGCGCUCUCCGACCCUGUGUCCGCGCAGUCCCGGGUCUGCGCUUCCCCUCCGGUGGGGGCAGGGGGAAGCAGGGGCUCCCGGAAACCGACUCUGGGGUCAGCAGGACCAGCCGGCUACAAGGGAGCAGGUCUGGCUGUUCCUGAGCUACUCCGGGAGCAGGGUCCCCAGAGAGCAGAGUACAGGUCCACUCUUUCCCCGACUGCUCCCCACCCGCUCCGGGAGCCCCACGGAGCCAUUGUCCUCCGGCUCCCUACUGGGCCUCUCUUGGCAAGGACCUAGCGGCUUCUCUUAUUUACCCAUUAACAAUUAAGCUCUAGGCAUUUAACAUAUAAACACAGACAACAUCAGCAUAAUUACUGCGAAGAUUUCAAAAGCUUUUUGGCAGGGAAGAACUUGAAUAUUUACUUAACAAAAGAAUUCCUUGCUUCAGUCUUAAGAAAGAAUUCACAAUAGGAUUUAACAAGCCAGCUUCUCCAGUAAAUUAAAAACACUCUUUCACUCAUUCAAAUAUGAUUUGUGUUUUUAAAAAUGUGACUCAUGCACAACUUCUCAAGAGAGCUCUCACAAUGUCUUUCCUGCGGGGUCUGUUCCCACAUCAUCUUCCAUUAUUCCUCACGUCUUGAGAUCCUUGUCUGAGCAGAGGUGAGUCAUACAGAGGGGAGGGACCUGAAGUUCCACCAUUAGGUGCCCUUUCCUUUGUUUUAAACUUGUCUUCUACAGAUGAGUUUCCUGUGUUAUGCAAGAAGAGUAUUUCAGAGCUAUGACUCUGUCAAGUAUUUCUUCUGUGACUAAAGGGAUAUAAAGCAGUCUGUUGGAGUUCGGGGACCUUGGGAAGAGAAGAGAGGAGCAGGAGAAACCAACCCUGUGGGUUUAUUGAGGGAGAAGAGGACACUGACUUGUUUGAUCAUUUAGUCAUCUAUUAGGAUUCCAAUAUUUCUACCAUUGCCAGAUGCCUUAGUUACCUUUCUAUUCCCGGGACACAAUAACUAACACCAGUAACUCAAAGAAGAAGGGCUUUAGGGCCGGGGAGUUAGCUCAGUGGUUGUGCCGCCUGCCUUGCAAGCCCAAAGUCCUGUGUUCAAUCCCCAGUGCCGGGAGUGGUGGUUAAAUUUGGCUUAUGGUGGAACAUCACGGCGAAAGCAAUGCUGCUCACCUCAUGGCCUCUGGGAAGUGAAUGCAGGAGAAAAUAGGAAGGGGCCAGGGAAUAAACAUGGUCCCCAAAGUCACUCCUCUAUGACCUACCAAGGCACACCAGAAGUGUAAUGUCCUAGGCAUCUUUCAAGCCAGUAAGUUGACAAUCAAGAUCAACCAUCACACUAGACACCUGGGAUGCACAGGUAACUAGGAAAAGAGCAUAGUCAGGCUGCCCAGUGCAACAAGAUGAAAAGUCAGGCACAGAAUGCAAAGUUGGUAGAUGGACUGCACAGGGAGAGGGUCGGGGGAAGUGUCACAGGUGUAGUCUCAGGAUGAGGAAUACUGUCACUGCUUAUAAACAUCUAACAGCUGUGUUUUCAUCUUUCACUUCAACUCACAAAGUCACGGGGACACCAGAUGGAAAGUCAGCCCAUUUGUGAAAGCCUCGGUCCCCAGAGCGUGACACCGGACUCGCAGGAGAUGAAGCCUAGUGGAGGAUCUGAGUGGAGGACCUCGGCCUGCUCUCUGCUGCCUGCUUCGACAGUGUGCCUUGCUCUGUGUGUGCUCCAUGAUGACCGCUGCCCCGGCACAGGCCCGAAGGCGUGGACAGCAGCGUCUCGCCCCAAAGCCUCACGGUGACAAUUAAAUCAGCGUUUUCUUUUAUAUGCUAAUUGGCUCAGGUAUUUUGUCCUACUAAGGAAAAGCCAUCUAAAGUAAAAGGAACUCUGUUAUCCUUAUUUUAUAAUAAGGAUAAGGACAUUGAAGCUUGGUGUAAUUCAGAGAGGUCAAGUCGCUUACCAGAGUUCCAUAGCUAGCAACCCACUUGAGUGGAUCAAAUUUGGGAGAGGAAAGUUGGAGGGAAGGAAUUAGUUUCAUAGAAAGGGGCUCGCUCCUCAAGGCUUUCUCAGCCAGGCAAUGGCUUCCAGCGGGGUGGGAUCUUCUCCCACCAGUGGUGUUCUCUUUUCUUCGUAACAGACUUCAAGCAAGAUAAGGAAAGGCUUCUCUUGAACCAACAGGAUUAGAGAUGACAAAAGCUUAAAAGAGUGGUUCGUAAGUGCGGGGCAAAGGAAAAGUUUAGUGGAGCCCCUGUCCCACUGAGCAGCAGAAAUGGGACCAAGGCCCAAGCAACUUAGAUUUAGUUGCUCACAGUUAAGGGCUCUCAACUGUAAUGGUUGGUGUGUGCAGAAGUAAUGAUUUUGAUUAGGAAAUAUUUAAAAUCCCAAGAAAAAUACAAAGACUAACAUAAUGAAGUUCAUGAAUCUACCACCCAUCUCCAUUAAACGUCAACAUUCUGCUUGCUUGCUUAGUUUUCUUAAAAAGAAAAAUUACUGACACAAUUGAAGCCCUUGUGUAUUCUACUCCGAACACACUGUUCUCCCUCAGCUCUCCUGAAUUUGAGUUUCUGUUUCCCAGAUAUGUUUUGUUUGUCUGUUUGUUACUUUAUGGUACUGGGGAUUGAACCAGGGCCCGGGACAGGCAAGGCAAGCCAUCUACCACUGAGCUAUAGUCCCAGCCCUAAUCACUAGCUUUUAAAAAUUUCUGCUUUUACAAAUAAUUCUGCAGUGAACAUUCUUCAGCAUGUCCUUUUUUUGUGCUCCUAGGGGAAUUCCCAGAUGGUUUGCUGGGGUGAAGGGUGAGCCUCAUCUACCGAAAUUCUGCUCCAAGGGUGUUGGCCAGCUGAACUCCUGGCCAUAGUAUGUGAGAGUGAGGCUUGUCUCAAACUCACAACCAUCCUCCUGUCUCAGCCUCCCUAGUGCUGGGAUUACAGGUGUGCACCACCACACCCAUUGUUCUUUUUAACAAGCGUGUUUUAGACAGGGUCUCCUUUGUAGUGCAGGCUGGCCUUGAACUCACUCUGUAUCCAGGCUGGCCUUGAACUUGCAGUGAUCCUCCUGCCUCAGCCUCUCUAGUGCUGGAAUUGUAGGCGUGAGUUUUCUGUGGCUUCUUAUCUUUAUUCUCAACAUUCUUUUGAUUUUAUUUAUUUACUUAUUUUUGGUACCCAGGGUUCAAUUUAGGACCUUGUGCUUACAAGGUGGGCAAGGCACCACUGGACUAAAUCCCUGGCCUUCUUGAUUUUAAUUGUUUUGAUUUUACUUUGCUCUUCUUUUUCUAGCUUCUUAAAGCAGGAGUUUAAAAUCUCAAUGUGACAUCUUUCUUUUUUUCCAAGUAUAAGCAAGUAUAAUAGUAUGUAUUUCCCUUUAAAUACUGCUACAAACACAG